GCAGUGGCACAAUGGGUCAGUUUGUCUGGCUGUUAAUCAGAAGGUUGGUGGUUUGAGACCACUCAGGGAUG